GACCUGGCUCAGGAUGAACGCUAGCUACAGGCCUAACACAUGCAAGUCGAGGGGCAGCAUGGUCUUAGCUUGCUAAGGCCGAUGGCGACCGGCGCACGGGUGAGUAACACGUAUCCAACCUGCCGUCUACUCUUGGACAGCCUUCUGAAAGGAAGAUUAAUACAAGAUGGCAUCAUGAGUUCACAUGUUCACAUGAUUAAAGGUAUUCCGGUAGACGAUGGGGAUGCG
rnacentral:rRNA from 1 species